rfam:Schistosoma mansoni strain Puerto Rico chromosome 7, complete genome
AGCCUUCUGUAUCCGUGCUGAGAUUUCGUCACACACCAGACCACAAGGGCUGAUGAGAAAUAAACACGGGUAACU